rnacentral:lncRNA from 1 species
UUCGCCAUGUUGACCAUCAGCCAGCGAUGCUUCUGCGGGUAAUUUAGGAGGAAUGGUGCAGGAAAACCAAGCAAGACAAGGCACGGCCCUGCCAGCGGCCGGCGGCGGCGGCGCGAAGGCGGUUUCCGCCGAGCAGCGUCCCCAGGGGGGCCUCGGCACAGGAAGGAAGGAAGGAAGGGGGUUGGGAUCCGAGGAAGGGCACCUGGCAUAGGCGGGCGGUGAGGGAGACGGCCUUCUUCGCGGCGCCGAGCUCGGCGGCAUACGGGGGAUUGCCGGUGGGCCUCGUACUAGCCCUCGCCGAGCCCCAUGGAGCGGAGCAGCUCCCGCACCACGCGCGCGUCGCGGGGCUCGUCCGGUCCCGCCGCCCCUCCUCCGGCCGUCGCGGGCUGGAUGGGCGCUGGCCGCACACCGCCGCCGUCCAUGGUCUGGUCUGGUCUGGUCUGGUGGCUAUGUCGUGUCUCUGUCUCUGGCUCUGGCUGGCGUGUGGGGGUUCGGG